rnacentral:rRNA from 1 species
UACGGAGGGGGCUAGCGUUGUUCGGAAUUACUGGGCGUAAAGGGCGCGUAGGUGGCCUGUUAAGUCGAACGUGAAAUCCCCGGGCUCAACCCGGGAACUGCGUCCGAGACUGGCAGGCUCGAAUCCGGGAGAGGGAUGUGGAAUUCCAGGUGUAGCGGUGAAAUGCGUAGAUAUCUGGAGGAACACCGGUGGCGAAGGCGGGUCUCUGGGCCGAUAUUGACGCUGAGGAGCGAAAGCGUGGGGAGCGAACGGG